rnacentral:rRNA from 1 species
UGGGGAAUAUUGCACAAUGGGCGCAAGCCUGAUGCAGCCAUGCCGCGUGUAUGAAGAAGGCCUUCGGGUUGUAAAGUACUUUCAGCGGGGAGGAAGGGAGUAAAGUUAAUACCUUUGCUCAUUGACGUUACCCGCAGAAGAAGAACCGGCUAACUCGGUGCCAGCAGCCGCGGUAAUACGGAGGGUGCAAGCGUUAAUCGGAAUUACUGGGCGUAAAGCGCACGCAGGCGGUUUGUUAAGUCAGAUGUGAAAUCCCCGGGCUCAACCUGGGAACUGCAUCUGAUACUGGCAAGCUUGAGUCUCGUAGAGGGGGGUAGAAUUCCAGGUGUAGCGGUGAAAUGCGUAGAGAUCUGGAGGAAUACCGGUGGCGAAGGCGGCCCCCUGGACGAAGACUGACGCUCAGGUGCGAAAGCGUGGGGAGCAAACAGG